GACGAACGCUGGCGGCGUGCUUAACACAUGCAAGUCGAACGGAGUGGCGAACGGGUGAGUAACGCGUGGGAGAUCUGCCGUGCACUUCGGGUUAAUCUUGGAAAACUUGGUCUAAUACCGGAUAGUGCAAGAUGUGCGCGGGGGCUAUCAGCUUGUUGGUGGGGUAAUGGCCUACCUAGGCGUCGACGGGUAGCCGACCUGAGAGGGUGUACGGCGACCUUGGGACUGCGGUACGCACCAGUCUCGUACGGGAGGCAGCAGUCGCGAAUAUGGCGCAACGAGGGGACGUCUGAUGCGGCGGCGCCGGGUGGGGGAUGAACGCCUUCGGGUGGUAAACUCCUUUCGGCAGAGACGCGGUACCUGCAGAAGAAGCACCGGCUAACUACGUGCCAGCCGCCGCGGUAAUUC
rnacentral:rRNA from 1 species